UCUCCGUAGGUGAACCUGCGGAGGGAUCAUUCCAGAGUUCAUGCCCUACCGGGUAGAUCUCCCACCCUAUGUUAUUAUUACUUUGUUGCUUUGGCGGGCCGUUAGGCUCCGGCCCGACUACCGGCCCCGGCUGGUAAGCGCCCGCCAGAGGACCCAAAACCCUGAAUAUUAGUGUCGUCUGAGUACUAUAUAAUAGUUAAAACUUUCAACAACGGAUCUCUUGGUUCUG
rnacentral:misc_RNA from 1 species